UACGUAGGUGGCAAGCGUUGUCCGGAGUUAUUGGGCGUAAAGCGCGCGCAGGCGGUGCGGUAAGUCUAUGGUGAAAGCGCUCGGCUUAACUGGGCGAGGGCCGUGGAGACUGCCGGACUGGAGGGGAGCAGAGGCGAGUGGAAUUCCGGGUGUAGUGGUGAAAUGGCGUAGAGAUCCGGAGGAACACCAGUGGCGAAGGCGGCUCGCUGGGCUCAACCGUGACGCUGGAGGCGCGAAAAGCGUGGGGAGCGAACCGG
rnacentral:rRNA from 1 species